UUUUUUUUUUUUUUCAGGGCCACACUCACAGCAUAUGGAAGUUCCCAGGCUAGUGGUCAAAUAGGAGCUAUAGCUGCCAGACACAGCAAGGUCAGAUCUGAGCCGUGUCUGCGACCUACACCAAUGGAUGUAGCUCAUUGCAAUGGGUCCUUUAACCCAUUGAGUGAGGCCAGAGAUGAAACCUCCAUCCUCAUGGAUACUAGUCGGGUUCUUAACCUGCUGACCCACAAUGGGAACUUCCCAUUUAAUGUAAUUAAUUAAAUGCAUGAAUGAAUGAAAGAAAUGAUGCUAGAGUUAACAUUAAACUAUAGGUUUAGAGAAGAUACUUGAUUCAUACUUGCAAGGAAUCCAUUUAAUCUCAAAAUUUAGAUGAUAUUUUUAUUUUUUUAGCUGUAUUUUCCAGACCAAGAUUUAUAGUUGAUACUAUCAUUGUGCAUAGAGGAUGGCUAAUUAUUUGCAGUUUUCUUCAUGGGGUACAUUCUGUUCCCCUGAAAAGAGAAAGAUAAAGCAAUGACUGAGGUACUCGUCUCCCAUACAAAAUUUCAGGAAUAGUGAAAACCACAAUGAUCAAGAUGAAUACUGUGCAAAAUUUAAAAAAAAAUCAAAUUAGCAAUCCUUUGCCUAUAAAUUAGCUGCCUCUUUUGCUAGUGAAGUUUUUUUAGAAGUACAACACUAGGGUGAGUGUAUGUCCCUGGGUUUUAGGCAAAGGAUCUUACUGAUAUUGAUUAAAGUACGUCAUAAUAGAAGUCAACACUUAAUAUGAUCUGUUGAUCUGCUUAAAUGAUAUCUAAGGAAUAUAGAGUGAAUCAUGUUUUGGGGGAAAUAGUAGAAAAAGAAUAGUAUUAUGGAGUUUAUAGCCUUUGAAUGCCUUUCUCUUCAUUCAACUAACAAAAUGUGCCAAUGACUGCACUCUCAUUUGAUCGAAUUCUUCUAAUUUAUUUUAGACCACCUUAACAGUACUUAGAGUUAGGUGGGCUUCUUCAGACUCAUCUUAUGACUGAGCACAAGAAAAAGGCAAGAGAUGUAAACACUUCUAAUUCGAUGAAAAACUAAGAAUGAUCUUGCCAGCACACAUAUAAUCAAAGCACACUGAUAGCCUUAAAUGAUGAGUUUUUUACCUGAACCAUAGAACAAAAGUUAUAUAAAGAGAUAACAUGUAAUUAUCUACAUAAAUAUACCAAGAUCUUUUUUAGAUAAAGCCAAAUAAUGUGAUUUAGGGGUUACCUUUCAUAUUUUAUAGAUUAAAAAAUUGAGACAGAGUAAGCUAAUUACUGGUAGACAAUUGUUUUGAACAGAUUUUUCACUCAGAAGUCCAUGGUCUUCCUAUCAAACCAUCUUGCUCGAAAAUAACCUUAGAGUUUAUUUAACCCAAUUGCCUUUUGUCCAUGAUAGUAGAAAUGCUGCUGCCUCACCCAGCUCCCAUUUACUGGAGAUGCCCAUAUCCAUGGCUUCUAAAAAUGCUCAGAGAUGUAACUUUUCUAUGUCAGGAGCCAUCAUACUCAGAAAUAUGCCCAGGGUGGAAACUGAGACCUGUAACCUUGGGGUGAAGGGAGCUAAGAAUCCAGAACCCCUUGCCUAGAUGUGGGAUAGCAGAGGUGUCAUUGAAGCAGCAGAGUUGCCUAUAACAUCAUGUUGAACCCGAAUAUUUAUUACUUUUUAUUUUAUUUUUGUGUUUUAAUUCCUCAUCACUUAGCAAACCAAAGCUGUGAUCUCUUUAGCUUCAUCACCUGAAAUGGGUAAAACAAAAAUUAAAAAUACAUCUUCCAUACAAGCAUGCAAAUUGAAAUCUUUUGGAGAAAAGUGACAGGGGAAAAAAAUAGGUCAGUUUAAAAUGUUUUCUUUUAAUUAAAUAGUAUUCCAAAGCUCUUCUGAAAGUAUAUAAGUACAUUAAAUUAUUUUUAAAAGUAGCGGUUGUAGGAGCUUCCAUUAUGACUCAGUGGGUUAAGGACCUGGCAUUGCCACAAACUAUGGCAUGGGUCGCAAAUGUAGCUCAGAUCUGGUGUCACCAUGGCUGUAGCGUAGGCCUUCAGCUGCAGCUCUGAUUUGACCCCUAACCUGGGAACUUCCAUAUGCCGCAGGUGUGUCCAUUAAAAAAAAGAAAGAAAGAACAAGAAAAAGAAAGGAAAAAAUAGUUGUAAAUACUUUCUUUUACUAAUAUUGCUAUUAUCUUUGUCUUGUUAGAUUUAAAUUAUACCACAUUCCAAGGUUUAUGUUCAGCUUUUAUUUUUAAAAAUGUUGGCCUGAUGGCUUUGAAUAUAUUGACAGUUUACGCCCUGAAACUCUCAACCUUCUUAUAUCAGCACUUUCCAUACGUCUUUUCUGUGACCACAGAAGAAGGGAGCCUUUUCUAUGAAAUGCCAAAGUCUUUACAUGCCCUGAGGCUCAUUCCAUCUUAUCUUUUUAGGGACUGCGCCCCUCUAAUUUUUUCUGCUAAACCUCAGUUUUUAAUGACUAUUUCAAUGGAAUUUUCCAAUUAUGGGAGAAAAAAAAAAAAAAAGCGGUACACAAAGAAUCUCCCUGGUCCAAAGUUUCAACCCGUUACUUCUGUCUCUCUGCACAUCUUAUUACAUCCAGUCAGUUUGUCCUUCAAAUGCUUGUUUUCUACUCUUAGUCUCUUGGACAUAACAUGUUGCUGAUUUUCUCCCUAGAUAUUUGGUCACUUUUGCAAAAUAAUUGUUUUAGCUCUUCUUUCUGUUUCCUCACUUUAAAUGUAUUAUUUCUAACCUGCUUCUCAUAUCACUAGAAUCAAACAUUCAGCUCCUUAUUCACCUCUCCCUUUAGAUGCUUCACCCUUAUUUCAAAUAUAAUCUAUCUACACUGAAAUCUACUCUGCCUAACGCCACACCUGAGAGACAUAUGCCAGACACUAUGCUAAGUAGUACAUGUACAUGCCAUACAUGUACACCCAAUAGUAAUCAACAUACAAAACUUACAAACACGUGCAACAUAAAUAGGAUCUCUGGCCUCAUUGAGCGUAGAGUUUAAUAUGAAAAAACAGUAUUAUAUAUAGUUACCAUCUAAUGUAACAAGCGCAUAGUAGAGAAAUUAAAAGAUACUAUGGUAGUGUGUGGCAAGCAUAACUUAUCUAGUCUAGGUUCAGGUAGUGUUCAUGGAAUGCUUUCCAGAGAAACUUGUAUCUAUUUAAGCUUAUUAAUACUGUUGAAUGUAGUUAAUAAGGUUAACUUAAUAGAGAUAUAUCAAAUUUUGUAACUAAAACGUAGAAACUGUAGCAUUACAGACUUCUGGAUUUUUAAACAUGAUUUUUAAGAGGCAACAAAUAAAGUAUCAAUAAAUUUCUAAGUGAAAAUAUAGGAAAAAUUAUUUGAAUACUAUGAACCAAAUUAGAAAUGUGUAACAGAAGUUUAAAUCCAUGAUUAAAAAAAAUAAAACUUCUCAGAAAAGAACUUGCCUAGAUAAAUUCUCAAUGAAGAAAUAAAAUCUAAAAUAAGGCCACUAAUAAAAUAAGAGCAACAGUAACUCAUUAUAUGGAAAUGUGCAAAAUAUUAUCAAAGCUGCACUCUAAUAUAUACUUAUAUAUUAAUAAUAUUAUAGAAUCAAAAACUCCUAAAAGUCUGACUAUUCAUGUCACAAAUGUAAAAUAAAAAAAGAAAGAAAAGCUUAUAUAAGGUAGAAGGCAAUGAAGUAAAUUAAAAAUUGGAAAAACAAAAAUAUAAUUAAAAAUGAACACUCAGUAGACCACUGAAAUACAGAAUUUUUCACAAAUUUCAUCAGGCUAAAAAUCACUAAUACCAGAAGAAAUUUAAAAUUAACACUCUAAUAAUAACUACUGAGGAAAUUAAAACUAUAAGAAACACUAUAUAUAUGAUAGAACUUUGACACUAUAUAUAUGCUAGAAAUUUUUUUGAAAUAUGGACACAGUGUUUCUUGAUAAAAUAAAUAAAUUUGAGUUAUUUAACUCAAGGAGAAGUAGAAAAUGUGGAUAAACAAAUUGUCAAGUGUAACAUUUUUUUGAAAAAAAUUCUAAUUUUUUUUUUGAUCCUACUUAAAUGAAUUUUUUCCUACAUUUGUGUCACUUGGAACUAUUAUCAUGAUUUGGGGAAUAUGAAGGGCAGGCUCAUUCCUAACUUUUACAAGACAGGGACAAUAGUAUGAAUCAAUUCCACCUGCUCAUUCUAUGUUUAAAUAUUUUAAAAGUAAAAAUAAAUAUACCCAGCUGGAAAAUAAGAUAUGGUAUGCCUUCUACCUACAACAGAUACACUUUCCAAUGUAUUUACAUGCAACUAGGUAUUGUAUAACUGAAAAUUAGCAAAACAUCAAAGAUAAUUGAAUUUUAUUGAUACUCUACAAACUGGGCAUUGAUGAAUACAAAACUUAUAGGAAAAAUAAAAUAAUAGAAGUGCAUUUCUAUAUUUUUAAAAAAUAUUUUUUACUCCAUAUAUUUAUGACUGUUGCUUCCACUUCAGCAAAAUCACAAGUGAAAUUAAGUCAAGAUUUUGACUUCAAUGUAUUGACCUCAAUUUUAAAAAGACAACCUUUUUGAGAUAUUAUAGUUCUUGCUUAUUUUUUAUUUAAUCAUAAUUUGUUCUUAUAUUCCUCAAAUUUUUAUUUUAUCAUGAAAUUGUAACUAUGGUACUUGGUACUUUAUCUCUCUUUUUUUUUUUAAGUGUUUCAAUGUGCCAUAUUACCAAAGAGGGGGAAAAAACAAAAUAGCAGUAUAUAUGUCAGUUGGCUAAUAUCACUCAUUUUUUGAAAUUUAGAUAUAUUACUUUUUCUAAAAAUUGAAAGAAUAAUUUUAAUAUUUUUCAAAGUGAAGUAGCCAAAUUUAAAUUUGUUAGUUUUCUUUUUUUGUAAACCAUGCCAGAUAACUAUAGAUAGCACAAGUUCAAAAUUAAUUUGAUUUUCUGCCAAAGACCACAAUUUACAUUUAGUGUAUCUUGCAUCAUAUAUAUUAAGUCAGAUUGAUCCUGCAGAAUUUAAAUGGCAUUACCAUUAUGAGUCUAAGAGGAGUCUUAUGGUCAAAUUUUACAUGCACUUCACAGGAUAUUUCCCUUGGGGGCAGAUUAUGAAAGCAUCAUGUAUAAUAUUUGAAUGUUUCCGAAGAAUAUCAUUGCUAUUAGCUCAGUAACACAAACAAUAAAUUGUACAUGGAAAAUAAAGCAUUUGAUUUGCAGUCAAAAUUCUAGCUUGUAGGGAGUGCCCUUUGUUAACAAACCCUGCUAGGAUCCAUGAGGAUGCAUGUUCUAUCCCUGGCCUCGCUUAGUGGGUUAAGGAUCCAUUGCUGUGGUGAGCUGUGGUGUAGGUCUCAGAUGUGGCUUGGAUCCUGUGUGGCUGUGGCUGUGGUGGAGGCCAGGAGCUGAAGAUCUGAUUCGACCCCUCUCUGGGAACUUCCAUAUGCUGUGGGUGUAGCCCUG
rnacentral:lncRNA from 1 species